AGCAAGUGGCUGUGGUCCCCUUCCACGGUGUGGGGGCUUUGUUCUUUCCCUCUUUGCAAUAAAUCUUGCUGCUGCUCACUCUUUGGGUCCACACUGUCUUUAUGAGCUGUAACAUUCACCGCGAAGGUUUGCAGCUUCACUCCUUAAGCCAGUGAAACCACUAACCCACCAAGAAGAAUGAACAAACAACUCCAGACGCGCGGCCUUAAGAGCUGUAACACUCACCGCGAAGGUCCGCAGCGUCUCUCCUGAGCUAGUGUGACCACGAACCAACCAGAAGGAACAAACUCCGAACACGCCGCCUUUAAGAACUGUAAUACUCACCGCGACGGCUUUUAAGAACUGUAACACUCACCGCGACGGUCGGCGGCUUCAUUCUUGAAGUCAGUCAGACCAAGAACCUACCAAUUCCGGACGCACUACCCGGGGGACAUGAUAAAUCUGGGAAGGGCACCUCAGGUUUUAUCUUCAUCAGCCUGGUCAAAGCUGGAUUUCCAUCACACAUGUGCUCACUCCACGGAACGUGCAAAAGGUCAAGACAUACAAACUCAGAGUUUUUAAAAUCAAGAAUUGAAAGU
rnacentral:lncRNA from 10 species